ACACUAACUGGAGGACCGAACCGACUAAUGUUGAAAAAUUAGCGGAUGACUUGUGGCUGGGGGUGAAAGGCCAAUCAAACCGGGAGAUAGCUGGUUCUCCCCGAAAGCUAUUUAGGUAGCGCCUCGUGAAUUCAUCUCCGGGGGUAGAGCACUGUUUCGGCAAGGGGGUCAUCCCGACUUACCAACCCGAUGCAAACUGCGAAUACCGGAGAAUGUUAUCACGGGAGACACACGGCGGGUGCUAACGUCCGUCGUGAAGAGGGAAACAACCCAGACCGCCAGCUAAGGUCCCAAAGUCAUGGUUAAGUGGGAAACGAUGUGGGAAGGCCCAGACAGCCAGGAUGUUGGCUUAGAAGCAGCCAUCAUUUAAAGAAAGCGUAAUAGCUCACUGGUCGAGUCGGCCUGCGCGGAAGAUGUAACGGGGCUAAACCAUGCACCGAAGCUGCGGCAGCGACGCUUAUGCGUUGUUGGGUAGGGGAGCGUUCUGUAAGCCUGUGAAGGUGUGCUGUGAGGCAUGCUGGAGGUAUCAGAAGUGCGAAUGCUGACAUAAGUAACGAUAAAGCGGGUGAAAAGCCCGCUCGCCGGAAGACCAAGGGUUCCUGUCCAACGUUAAUCGGGGCAGGGUGAGUCGACCCCUAAGGCGAGGCCGAAAGGCGUAGUCGAUGGGAAACAGGUUAAUAUUCCUGUACUUGGUGUUACUGCGAAGGGGGGACGGAGAAGGCUAUGUUGGCCGGGCGACGGUUGUCCCGGUUUAAGCGUGUAGGCUGGUUUUCCAGGCAAAUCCGGAAAAUCAAGGCUGAGGCGUGAUGACGAGGCACUACGGUGCUGAAGCAACAAAUGCCCUGCUUCCAGGAAAAGCCUCUAAGCAUCAGGUAACAUCAAAUCGUACCCCAAACCGACACAGGUGGUCAGGUAGAGAAUACCAAGGCGCUUGAGAGAACUCGGGUGAAGGAACUAGGCAAAAUGGUGCCGUAACUUCGGGAGAAGGCACGCUGAUAUGUAGGUGAAGUCCCUCGCGGAUGGAGCUGAAAUCAGUCGAAGAUACCAGCUGGCUGCAACUGUUUAUUAAAAACACAGCACUGUGCAAACACGAAAGUGGACGUAUACGGUGUGACGCCUGCCCGGUGCCGGAAGGUUAAUUGAUGGGGUCAGCGCAAGCGAAGCUCUUGAUCGAAGCCCCGGUAAACGGCGGCCGUAACUAUAACGGUCCUAAGGUAGCGAAAUUCCUUGUCGGGUAAGUUCCGACCUGCACGAAUGGCGUAAUGAUGGCCAGGCUGUCUCCACCCGAGACUCAGUGAAAUUGAACUCGCUGUGAAGAUGCAGUGUACCCGCGGCAAGACGGAAAGACCCCGUGAACCUUUACUAUAGCUUGACACUGAACAUUGAGCCUUGAUGUGUAGGAUAGGUGGGAGGCUUAGAAGUGUGGACGCCAGUCUGCAUGGAGCCGACCUUGAAAUACCACCCUUUAAUGUUUGAUGUUCUAACGUUGACCCGUAAUCCGGGUUGCGGACAGUGUCUGGUGGGUAGUUUGACUGGGGCGGUCUCCUCCUAAAGAGUAACGGAGGAGCACGAAGGUUGGCUAAUCCUGGUCGGACAUCAGGAGGUUAGUGCAAUGGCAUAAGCCAGCUUGACUGCGAGCGUGACGGCGCGAGCAGGUGCGAAAGCAGGUCAUAGUGAUCCGGUGGUUCUGAAUGGAAGGGCCAUCGCUCAACGGAUAAAAGGUACUCCGGGGAUAACAGGCUGAUACCGCCCAAGAGUUCAUAUCGACGGCGGUGUUUGGCACCUCGAUGUCGGCUCAUCACAUCCUGGGGCUGAAGUAGGUCCCAAGGGUAUGGCUGUUCGCCAUUUAAAGUGGUACGCGAGCUGGGUUUAGAACGUCGUGAGACAGUUCGGUCCCUAUCUGCCGUGGGCGCUGGAGAACUGAGGGGGGCUGCUCCUAGUACGAGAGGACCGGAGUGGACGCAUCACUGGUGUUCGGGUUGUCAUGCCAAUGGCACUGCCCGGUAGCUAAAUGCGGAAGAGAUAAGUGCUGAAAGCAUCUAAGCACGAAACUUGCC
rnacentral:rRNA from 1 species